AACGAACGCUGGCGGCAUGCCUAACACAUGCAAGUCGAACGAGAUCUUCGGAUCUGGUGGCGCACGGGUGCGCAACGCGUGGGAAUCUGCCCUUCGGUUGGGAAUAACUGAGAGAAAUUUCAGCUAAUACCUUAUAAUGUCUUCGGACCAAAGAUUUAUCGCCGAGGGAUGAGCCCGCGUAGGAUUAGCUAGUUGGUGGGGAAAUGGCCUACCAAGGCGACGAUCCUUAGCUGGUCUGAGAGGAUGAUCAGCCAGACUGGGACUGAGACACGGCCCCGACUCCUACGGGAGGCAGCAGUGCGAAAUAUUGGACGAUGGGCGAAAGCCUGAUCCAACAAUGCCGCGUGAGUGAUGAAGGCCUUAGGGUUGUAAAGCUCUUUUACCAGGGAUGAUAAUGACAGUACCUGGGGAAUAAGCUCCGGCUAACUCCGUGCCAGCCGCCGCAGUAA
rnacentral:rRNA from 1 species